AGAGUUUGAUCCUGGCUCAGGAUGAACGCCGGCGGUGUGCCUAAUACAUGCAAGUCGUACGCACUGGCCCAACUGAUUGAUGGUGCUUGCACCUGAUUGACGUUGGAUCACCAGUGAGUGGCGGACGGGUGAGUAACACGUAGGUAACCUGCCCCGGAGCGGGGGAUAACAUUUGGAAACAGAUGCUAAUACCGCAUAACAACAAAAGCCACAUGGCUUUUGUUUGAAAGAUGGCUUUGGCUAUCACUCUGGGAUGGACCUGCGGUGCAUUAGCUAGUUGGUAAGGUAACGGCUUACCAAGGCGAUGAUGCAUAGCCGAGUUGAGAGACUGAUCGGCCACAAUGGAACUGAGACACGGUCCAUACUCCUACGGGAGGCAGCAGUAGGGAAUCUUCCACAAUGGGCGCAAGCCUGAUGGAGCAACACCGCGUGAGUGAAGAAGGGUUUCGGCUCGUAAAGCUCUGUUGUUGGAGAAGAACGUGCGUGAGAGUAACUGUUCACGCAGUGACGGUAUCCAACCAGAAAGUCACGGCUAACUACGUGCCAGCAGCCGCGGUAAUACGUAGGUGGCAAGCGUUAUCCGGAUUUAUUGGGCGUAAAGCGAGCGCAGGCGGUUGCUUAGGUCUGAUGUGAAAGCCUUCGGCUUAACCGAAGAAGUGCAUCGGAAACCGGGCGACUUGAGUGCAGAAGAGGACAGUGGAACUCCAUGUGUAGCGGUGGAAUGCGUAGAUAUAUGGAAGAACACCAGUGGCGAAGGCGGCUGUCUGGUCUGCAACUGACGCUGAGGCUCGAAAGCAUGGGUAGCGAACAGGAUUAGAUACCCUGGUAGUCCAUGCCGUAAACGAUGAGUGCUAGGUGUUGGAGGGUUUCCGCCCUUCAGUGCCGGAGCUAACGCAUUAAGCACUCCGCCUGGGGAGUACGACCGCAAGGUUGAAACUCAAAGGAAUUGACGGGGGCCCGCACAAGCGGUGGAGCAUGUGGUUUAAUUCGAAGCUACGCGAAGAACCUUACCAGGUCUUGACAUCUUGCGCUAACCUUAGAGAUAAGGCGUUCCCUUCGGGGACGCAAUGACAGGUGGUGCAUGGUCGUCGUCAGCUCGUGUCGUGAGAUGUUGGGUUAAGUCCCGCAACGAGCGCAACCCUUGUUACUAGUUGCCAGCAUUAAGUUGGGCACUCUAGUGAGACUGCCGGUGACAAACCGGAGGAAGGUGGGGACGACGUCAGAUCAUCAUGCCCCUUAUGACCUGGGCUACACACGUGCUACAAUGGACGGUACAACGAGUCGCAAGCUCGCGAGAGUAAGCUAAUCUCUUAAAGCCGUUCUCAGAUCGGACUGUAGGCUGCAACUCGCCUACACGAAGUCGGAAUCGCUAGUAAUCGCGGAUCAGCAUGCCGCGGUAAAAACGUUCCCGGGCCUUGCACACACCGCCCGUC
rnacentral:rRNA from 1 species